rnacentral:rRNA from 1 species
GUGCCAGCAGCCGCGGUAAUACAGAGGGUGCAAACGUUGCUCGGAAUCAUUGGGCGUAAAGCGCACGUAGGCGGUCCGAUAAGCGGGGAGUGAAAGCCCUCGGCUUAACCGAGGAAGUGCUUUCCGAACUGUCGGACUUGAGUACGCAAGAGGAUCGCGGAAUUCCCGGUGUAGAGGUGAAAUUCGUAGAUAUCGGGAGGAACACCAGCGGCGAAGGCGGCGAUCUGGGGCGAUACUGACGCUGAGGUGCGAAAGCGUGGGGAGCAAACAGGAUUAGAAACCCCUGUAGUCC